UGGGGAUUCUGGUCGGGGGCUCAUCCAGGGACCAGUGGAGGACCCCGUGCAGUGGCUGCGGUGGUGUGUUUGUUGCUGUUGAAGCAAAUGGCCGUAUCUCCAGUAGGCUGUGACCAAGCACUGAACCGUGGAGACACAACCCUGAGAUGAGGCAGUUGCUGUUCCUGAGAAUGAAUUAAAACCUAACUCAAGCCAACUGGGAAUGUAAACCGCACUGACCAAGGAAAGUUGGGGAAAUUGCCAGUGAAUGCAGAAAAAAGAAAAGGAAGGAAGAUGUGGAAAGCAGG